UACGGGGGGGGGCAAGCGUUGUUCGGAAUUACUGGGCGUAAAGGGCUCGUAGGCGGCCAACUAAGUCAGACGUGAAAUCCCUCGGCUUAACCGGGGAACUGCGUCUGAUACUGGAUGGCUUGAGUUCGGGAGAGGGAUGCGGAAUUCCAGGUGUAGCGGUGAAAUGCGUAGAUAUCUGGAGGAACACCGGUGGCGAAGGCGGACUCUGGGCC
rnacentral:rRNA from 1 species